rnacentral:rRNA from 1 species
CUCCUGGACUAUUUCAGGUUGGCUCUGCCCUAUGUCUAUAAAUGGCUGCAGUACCCUGACUGUGCAAAGGUAGCAUAAUCACUAGUUUUUUAAUUGGAAAAUGGUAUGAAUGAGUUGACGAAGGACAGACUAUCUAUUUAUACAGUAAAUUUGACAUUAACGUUAAAAGGCUUUAAUAAUCUAGAGGGACGAUAAGACCCUGAGAAAUUUUAUUCUUUACAGCGCCCUAACUAGAGGCGGCGGGGAUGUUAUGAGAGUUUAGCUGGGGCGGCAAUUUUAUUAGCUAUUAUAACUAUAACAGUAAGGUGGCGGAUAAGGACGUUAUUAUAUAGAGUAGUAAAUUACUCCAGGGAUAACAGCACGAUCCCCCCUGAGAGACCUUAUUGGCGGGGGGGCUUGUGACCUCGAUGUUGAAUUGGAGAGGCUCGCUAGGGUAGAGGCUAGCGGAGCUGGUCUGUUCGACCAUUUAUCCUCC